GAUGAGAACGCAGCAAAAUGCGAUAAGUAAUGUGAAUUGCAGAAUUCAGUGAAUCAUCGAAUCUUUGAACGCACAUUGCGCCCGCUGGUAUUCCGGCGGGCAUGCCUGUUCGAGCGUCAUUUCAACCCUCAAACCCCCCGGGUUUGGUGUUGGGGAUCGGCUCUGCCUCACGGCGGUGCCGCCCCCGAAAUACAUUGGCGGUCUCGCUGCAGCCUCCAUUGCGUAGUAGCUAACACCUCGCAACUGGAACGCGGCGCGGCCAUGCCGUAAAACCCCAACUUCUGAAUGUUGACCUCGGAUCAGGUAGGAAUACCCGCUGAACUUAAGCAUAUCAAUAAGCGGAGGA
rnacentral:misc_RNA from 1 species